ensembl:lncRNA
UUAAUAAAAAGGUUGUGCUCUCUCAUUAGGGACAAAUCCAAACAUUUCCAUAUUCGUGAUGUUGCCCAUUUGAAGCUUAACUAUUAUUCAUGAGGUAAAAUAGGCUUUGUAGUUCACGCGUGUUUCAGUAUUGACCGAAAAAAAAUCAUAAUAAGCAAAACUAAGCCAAAGUGAACCGCUACUCACGCCUUAUGGCAUGGUGAACGUCUGCGCUGUUUCCAAAGAAUAUGAGGCACCAGCGCGAUCAAACAGCUGAAACAGAUAAUACAAUACCAUUUUUGGUCACACAGUAAAGGCAUAAUGUGACACUGCAAAGUGUUAGCAGUUUGAAAAAUCAAGAAUAAUAGCAGCGUUAAUAAGAAUUAUUGCAUUAUGCUGGACCGUUCUCAUUUUGCUCUGCAUAUGGGACCUGAAGGAUUUAUUUAUUUAUUUAUUUUACCAAGAAUGAACCGAAAUGAAAACAUUUAGCUUUUAAUCCGUGUGUGUGUGUGUGUGUGUAUAUAGGCCUAUAUAUGUAAUGACUGUUAAAUAACAAUAGCAUGCAUAAGAGCCUUUGUGUUAAGGUCUUUCUUUUAAUUUUUGAUGCGUAGACUGGAGCCUAGGACUAUCCCAAGUUUUGAAAUUAACUCACUGUAAAUUUUCUAAUGGUUUUUAAGGAUGUUACAAUGUUAUAUUAGAAUGUUAUUGUUGUUUUACUUCGUACUUUCAUCUCCAUUUACAAACCAACAAUUACAACCUUUUAAACUGACUGUAUACCAAUCCCACAUUGCCUCUUUUUUGAUUGCAAUUGUGAUUAAAUAUGGCAUCUACUCUGACCAAGGUUGCUGAAAGAUUCCACUCAAACUAUUAUGUGGUAGCCAAAGCAAUAUAGUCAAGGAACAGCAACACAUUUAUACAGUAGCUAUCCACUGGAAUAAUGAUAUACCCCAAGCUUUAUUAUUUGGUCACUACACUAUGAAAACCUUUUCUUUUGCAAGUUUUCAUAGGAAAUAUUAUGAAAGCUUGUCUUCCCCUGCACUUACUCAAGGCCUUAUUACAUUACUCCCAACCCUAGUAUUUCCUCAUAAUUACAACAGUUAUACUUUAGUUUACAGUGUCUUAAUAAUAUAGAAGAAGCUAUAACAGAUCCCUGUCUGUUUUUAGUUGGGUACAUUUCUAAUAUUAAUACUGAUAGACAGUUUUC